rnacentral:rRNA from 1 species
GACGAACGCUGGCGGCGUGCCUAAUACAUGCAAGUUGAGCGCUGAAGGUUGGUACUUGUCCCAACUGGAUGAGCAGCGAACGGGUGAGUAACGCGUGGGGAAUCUGCCUUUGAGCGGGGGACAACAUUUGGAAACGAAUGCUAAUACCGCAUAAAAACUUUAAACACAAGUUUUAAGUUUGAAAGAUGCAAUUGCAUCACUCAAAGAUGAUCCCGCGUUGUAUUAGCUAGUUGGUGAGGUAAAGGCUCACCAAGGCGAUGAUACAUAGCCGACCUGAGAGGGUGAUCGGCCACAUUGGGACUGAGACACGGCCCAAACGCCUACGGGAGGCAGCAGUAGGGAAUCUUCGGCAAUGGACGAAAGUCUGACCGAGCAACGCCGCGUGAGUGAAGAAGGUUUUCGGAUCGUAAAACUCUGUUGGUAGAGAAGAACGUUGGUGAGAGUGGAAAGCUCAUCAAGUGACGGUAACUACCCAGAAAGGGACGGCUAACUACGUG